rnacentral:rRNA from 1 species
GGCUAACGCUGGCGGCGUGUCUUAGCCAUGCAAGUCGAGCGGACUUAUGGGGUAACUUAUAAGUCAGCGGCGGACGGCGGAGUAACACGUAGCUAACCUACCCUCUGGACGGGGAUAACCUACCGAAAGGUGGGCUAAUACCCGAUGUAGUCAUCCUGUAUAGGGGUGAUGAAAGGUGGGCUUCUGUUUACAAGCUCAUGCUGGAGGAGGGGGCUGCGGCCUAUCAGGUAGUUGGUAGGGUAAUAGCCUACCAAGCCGAUGACGGGUAGCCGGCCUGAGAGGGUGACCGGCCCGAGGGGCACUGAGAUACGGGUCCCACUCCUACGGGAGGCAGCAGGCUAGAAAUUUGGGCAAUGGGGGAAACCCUGACCCAGUGACGCCGCGUGCAGGAAGGAGCCCUUCGGGGUGUAAACUGCUGUCGUGUAGGGAGAAGGGUACUAAGGUGAACAAUCUUAGUACUUGACGGUACUACAGGAGGAAGCCCAGGCUAACCUCGUGCCAGCAGCCCGGGUAAAGCUAACGUAACGUAG